AAACCAACCCCCCCCCUCACCCUCCAUGGAUACUGCCUGAGCAGGUGUGAGAGAGAGAGACAGAGAGAGAGAGACAAAGAUGGAUGUCCAAGGGAGAAGAAAAGGUCAACAUCUCGCCUGUUGAACCACUCCAGACGCAUCACCUGCUGCUUGGCGUCGUGCAGGAAAUCCAGCUCUGCUGGGGGUGGGGGGGCCGUCACGAGCAGGCAAUCACGCGAGCAGGCUUGGAGGUCAAGGAGGUUCAGCGUGCACCCACCUGCUGGCCCAGCGCUAGAGAAGCUAAAGGCUAAUCAGCUGGCCGCACUUGUUGAUGACUGGAAAUAAUUAUGGUGCCAUCUGGUUCGGGCGGCUUCUGGCUGGGCGUCGCCUGCAGGAUGUGGGCGGGGCUCCAGUGAGCCGGCGGCCUUCGGUGCCAGAACGGAGUGCUGCUGGGUCACGAACACGCUAAGGCCACGUGAAUCACGAUGGAUGGCCUUGUACUCCAGGAACAAGCUUACAGGAAACCCUGCGUCCACAGUUAACACCCAUUUCAGAGACAGGAAGUGUUUGAGAAAGCGAGAGAAGAAACGUGUGAGGAAGAGGCAGAAGUCAGCGCUGUGAACUGGAUGAGACGUGCACGAUGGAGAAGAGGGACACGGGAGGAACAGGAGCUGUUUCGAGGUCUCGUCUGCACCAAAUAAUCGCUCCCAUUUAUAAAUGCAUCACCCUGACACAUUUGUAGAUUAAUUCAUUGCUUAAAAAAGACUUUUUAGGACUGUGCACAAAAGGAUGAUAGUCUCCCUCUAGAGGCCAAGAAAGUAGGUAGCAGCCAAAAUUUCUUGUGCAUUAUUGCCACCUUGUGGCACAUCUAUAAAAUCAGUCACCUGUUUUCCCACCAGGCUUAGUUUGAUGAUGGAUGAGAGCUGUUUCUACAGGCACAUUUUUAUCUUCAAAAUGAAAAGAAUCUUUCUUAUUUCAAAACGCCUGUCUGUUCAGGUGCGUCAUCCCUUCUCAGUAAUCGGGCACCAAAUGGGUAUUGAGCGAUCUGGCACAGAAACACAACUUUUUUGUAGGGCUUGUUUGGCUUUCGGAUACAUGCGGGGGCGCACAUCAACGAUGGCGUUGAUAGAUGGUCAGCGCGGGGAAAAAGGGCCAAAGCUACCAUAACUGACAAGAGUCUGUGAAAAACUCGUUCUUUGGAAUAGUGAAGAGAUCCAUGAGAUAUAGGGACUGGGCCCUCUGAGGGAAAGGAGACGGAGAGAGACUUUAAAGACGUGGACAUGCGGGCAAGAAAGUGGCGGGUCCAAGUGGCACAGGACCGCAGCUGACAUACAAUGAAGGAAGGCAGUGAGCCUCACCAUACACACUUGGUGAAACACAAAAGUGAACGAUGAGGUCUGAGGUCUCCUCAGUUAUAAUAAUCAUCACUGAGGUUUAUGGUUGAGGGUCAGAGGGGCGUGGCUAUCCUGGGCAGAUUCAGGGGGCCCAGCACUUAAAAGGGGCCCUUAAAUACAUAACACCAUACAUAAACUUGGGCAGGGGCCUCCAGCUGAAGUUUUGUUUGGGAGCCCGGAAUUUCUAGGUACACCCAUGCCUACCUCCAGUGGCCUUUGCAGGUAAUAUAGAACACAGAUCCCCCCUCAUUGGAACCACAUGCAGAGAAAAUCAUAAACACAAAACAGUCUAAAAAAAAAAGCCCCAUCUGCCCUGACACCUACUGAACAGAAUCAGCGCUGACAGACAGAUGAAGACCCUCACGUUUCCCACACACAUGUGCCCAGGAGCACACUGGUAAUGUGCUCUGGAGCAGAGCCCCGGGUUGGCUCCCAGCCCCUCUCCCGCUCUCCCCAGGCCGGGGGGCUUCUGUCAGCAUGAUAUAGCCAUUAUUACUGGCUACACUGAGCACGAAGCCCUGGAGGACUGUGGACUGCACUAUAUCCGGCACGCAGACAUGCAUCAGGCAUCCGUUAAAAGAUACAAAAAAUAGGCGAGAGCAGCAAAUUAGCAAGAGGGCUGUAAACCGAGUCAAGAUGGCGUGAAGAAGCUGCAGGGAUACGGGAACCGAUCGGACCGAUGGGACUGAUGGGAGACGCGGAGGUGCAUCAAGCGGCGCUCCUCAGGCGGCCGACGGUGCCCCGCACACCCCUCUUCCGUGCCCCCUGCCGCUCCCUCUGCUCCAUUAAGCUGCAUUUUCAAAGCACUGGGGGGGGAGAGACAGUGACAAGCACCAAAGCUAAUUUGAGGCCUUCAUUUCCGCCAGCUCCCACCACCCCCCCCUCCAGCUGAGAAGGCAGCUAAUUAUGCCCCAGGUCCCGGGAUGAAAGCGGCGGGCGGAGCUGAGGACGGCAGAUCAUCAGCGAGCUGGAAGGAGCGCGUAGCUGUGACAGGGACGCGCGGCGGGGGGCGGGGCCACCACCCGUCUCAUGAGGGACAGACAAGUGGCAGUGAUAGUGCACGUUUAUUUAUUCCACCUGUUCCUCGUUCCCUCCAAAAGCAGUCGCGUGUUCUGCUUUUGUUUAUGCCUGAGCCAGCUGUCAGAACGACAUGCACAAUAUCUGUUUAUUUUGUGUAGCUGCUUUGUUUUUUCUUUCAUUCUUCAUCUUUUUUCCUAUACGUGAAGCACUGAGCUGCAGCUCAUGUAUGAAGGGUGCUAUAUAA